GAUGAACGCUGGCGGCGUGCCUAACACAUGCAAGUCGAACGGAAAGGCCCUGCUCUUGCUGGGCUCUCGUGUGGCGAACGGGGGAGUAUCACACGAGUAUACCGUCCCUGUCUUAGGGAUAACUCCACGAAACAGGGGAGAAUACCGGAUAGGAUCUUCUGCAGCAUGUUGGUCGAUGGUAAGUUUCGGCGGUUGGGGAUGGACUCGCGGGUUAUCAGCUUGUUGGUGGGGUAGUGGCUUACCAAGGCUUUGACGGGUAGCCGGCCUGAGCGGGUGACCGGCCACAUUGGGACUGAGAUACGGCCCAGACUCCUACGGGAGGCAGCAGUGGGGAAUAUUGCACAAUGGGCGGAAGCCUGAUGCAGCAACGCCGCGUGCGGGAUGACGGCCUUCGGGUUGUAAACCGCUUUCGCCUGUGACGAAGCGUGAGUGACGGUAAUGGGUAAAGAAGCACCGGCUAACUACGUG
rnacentral:rRNA from 1 species